AAUUCUCAACCUCACCAGUUUUGCUGUGUGAUGGCUUGGAUGUGGGGGUUGCAGGUCCACUCUGUGGUCUGCUCCUCUAAAAUGUAUUAGUGGGUUGAGCCCCUAAUCUAUUGGUGUGAUAAUUAUCUACGCCGUGGAUUGGAAGGCUAUCAUAGACCUGCUUCUAACCGUCCCUCACAGGACAACUUUGACAU
rnacentral:misc_RNA from 1 species